AUUGAACGCUGGCGGCAUGCCUUACACAUGCAAGUCGAACGGCAGCACGGGAGCAAUCCUGGUGGCGAGUGGCGAACGGGUGAGUAAUAUAUCGGAACGUGCCCAGUCGUGGGGGAUAACGUAGCGAAAGCUACGCUAAUACCGCAUACGAUCUAUGGAUGAAAGCGGGGGAUCGCAAGACCUCGCGCGAUUGGAGCGGCCGAUAUCAGAUUAGGUAGUUGGUGAGGUAAAGGCUCACCAAGCCGACGAUCUGUAGCUGGUCUGAGAGGACGACCAGCCACACUGGGACUGAGACACGGCCCAGACUCCUACGGGAGGCAGCAGUGGGGGAAUUUUUGGGACAAUGGGCGCAAGCCUGAUCCAGCAAUGCCGCGUGCAGGAUGAAGGCCUC
rnacentral:rRNA from 1 species